GCGGUUUCCUAGCGACGGCGUUGCCCGGGCGACGGAGGGCGCCGGGCCUGGUGGGGCGGCGGGAUGAGCUCGGAGGGCGAAGGGGGCGGCGGCGGCGGCGGGGCGGAGGGGCGGAGGAGGGCGGCGAGGGCGCGGGGGGAGGCGCGCGAGCCAAGGCGCCCAACCUCGCCUCCGAGGACCCGCAGGAGCGCAUCGCCGCCCGGCGCCUCCGCAUCGCCGCCCGACUCGAGGCCAAGAGGAGGGAGGCGCUUGGAGAAGAUCCAGAUGCACAUAAGCUGGUGGAAGAGGAGCAGAGUCGGAGCCACAAACAGAUAGAGGACAGCAGACAGAGGUUGACUAAGCUGCUGAUUGAUGGCACACAGCUAGUGACAAACAUCCAGGUGGCAGCUGAUUCUCGAGAGACUCACAGGAGGGCAGAGGAAGAGGAGCUGAAUCGGCAAAGGUAAGCGCUGGGCUGGGGCACCCUCUUUAAGUGGGGGAUAUGUGGGAAAGGGGAUGCAGGUGGCGCUGUGGGUUAAAUCACAGAGCCUAGGACUUGCCGAUCAGAAGCUCGGUGGUUCGAAUCCCCGUGACGGGUUGAGCUCCCGUUGCUCGGUCCCUGCUCCUGCCCACCUAGCAGUUCGAAAGCACGUCAAAGUGCGAGUAGAUAAAUAGGUACCUCUCCGGCGGGAAGGUAAACGGCGUUUCCGUGCGCUGCUCUGGUUCGCCAGAAGCGGCUUAGUCCUGCUGGCCACAUGACCCGGAAGCUGUACGCCGGCUCCCUCGGCCAGUAAAGCGAGAUGAGCGCUGCAACCCCAGAGUCGGCCAUGACUGGACCUAAUCGUCAGGGGUCCCUUUACCUUUUUAUCUGGGAAAGAGGCAGCAGAGGUCAGAGCCAGCCAGCGGUUCCCUUGGGAACUCAGCGCGAUCUUCACUUUGACCAAGGGGUCAGAAAAGACGUCCACUCCCAGGUUCAACAUUCUGAUUCAGGCUUGAGAGAACUGCAGGUUCCAGGGUGCGUAACGUGAACCUGAUAAACUGCUUUGCACUAAAUCAGAACGUUGGC
rnacentral:lncRNA from 1 species